rnacentral:rRNA from 1 species
GUAUAAGUUGUGAAAUCAAAAGAUUUUGGCGGUAUCUUAAGCUUUUUAGAGGAAUUUGCUCUUUAAUUGAUAUGACACCAAUAUCUUACUUAAUUUUGUAAAGACAGUUUGUAUAUCGCUAUAAUAGAAUUAUAUUGAAAGGUUAUAAUUAAGAGAUAUUUUUUUUUAAAAUGUUAGGCCAAGAUGCAGCAUAUAUUUAAGGUUGAAGUGAAUUACAAGGAUUGUUAUUUCAAAUAGUUGAAAUGAAGAAAUAGGAUUUAAAAGUAAAAUAAAAUUAUAAUGUUAUUGAAUAGCUCUA